UGGUUUACAGAAUUUACGUAAUACUUUAGAGGAAUAAAUCAAAGAUUUCAGUACAUAGCUGGUACAAAGUUUUCACCACAGAGUUUAUAUAUAAUUGUAGAUUAUAAGGAGGCAUUUAUAAAGAUGAGAAUGUCUGUGUUACUUAUGUAAUUUCAUAUUUAGAGCUAACAAUUUUUAGGGAAAUUAAAUAUUCUGGGACUAGACAUCAUAUAUGUGUGUAAAUCAAUUCGUUAUACAUUUACUGAGCAUCUCCUGUGUGCCAUCCACUGUGCAAAGAACUAAAGAGAUCCAGAUAAAAAUGGCAGUUUCUGUCAUCAAUGUACUAACAUUCUAAGGGAUAAAACAAACUAAAAAAAGAAAUCAUACAAUGUAAUGAGAGAAAUAACAAAAGAUGUGUACUGGGAUAUCAUAUCUAUUGCAGUAUAAAGACACGACAUAUGCAGGCCUAAAUGGAUAACUUGUGUAUAGAAAAUACAUUAUUUUGAGCUACUCUGCUCUAAACAGGCCAGCCCUGGUGUCUAGUGGUUAAGAUCUGGCACUCUCAUUGCCACAGUUUGGGUUCAUUUCUGGUCAGGGAACCACACCACCUGUCUGUCGGUUGUCACACUGUGACAGCUAUGUGUGGCUGGGAUGCUGCAAGCUAUGCCACUGGUAUUUCAAAUACCAGCAGGGUCACUCAUGGUGGACGGGUUUCAGCAGAGCUUCCAGACUAAGGCUAGGAAGAAGGACCUGGUCACUCACUUCUGAAAACAUUGGCCAUGAAACCCUGUGGACAGCAGGGGAGCAUUGUCUGAUACAGCAUGGGAAGAUGCGAGGAUGGUGCCAAAAAUAGCGGGCAGGGUUUGGCUCUGCUGACCACAAGGUCACUAAGAGUGGAAAUCAACUCUCGGGUGCGAACAAACCCUAAACGGAUACAACACAUAAACAUUUACAAGAUGCAGCCCUGGGAAAGAUUGUGUUUCUUUGUCUCUUCUCUCCAGUCUCCAUUGGUCUGUGACAAUUUCUCAGUCUUUCCUUGUUUUCCUUGACUGUGGCAGUCCUGAGGAAUGCUCCCAGCAUUCCUCUAGCCUUCUACUUCGGAGUUUUGUUUGAAGAACAUUCUUGUCAGUUGAGAUUAAGAUAACAUUUCUACGAGAACACAAAAGCUGAGAAAGAAAUCCAGUCACGCUGCCUGAGGAACCAGCUGUGCUCGUCCUUCUGUUUUCUCUUCCUUCUCCAGACAGAGUGGAGGCUGUGUCUCCAGGGAAUGAAGUGAGUCAACAGGUACAGUUACUGGGUGAGUAAGGUGUGACACAUCAUCCUCUCAAAUACGGUAAACAGGGCAAAGCGCUGGAUAGAAGGCCAGCCUUCUAUCAUUCUAGUAAACGUUCUAGAAAAACUGUUUCCAACAAAUAUUUAGGGCGUAGGAAAGGCUUCUAAUGCAUUCUUUAGUCUCUUUGUCCAUUUUCUUUUGAUUUAGUGGACAUCCAGAAAGGUAAAUCUAAUCAGAAUGUACUUUCCACCAAAAUGUCUAGAAUUUUCUUGACUCUAAAAUAACCAGAGGUCUUUGUAGAAAUAGUCAUAUGAAAUACUCAUUUCAUUCUGGAUUCCUUUGUCCACAUGCCUACUUUUUGCGGAAGUGACUUCAAGUUCAAUCUGAGAUCUGCUCAUAAAGAAAAUUCUUUCAUCUUACAAACAUUUGUGUGCGUGCAGUGUGGUAGUAAGUGUUAGGAAGAGUGGGGAACAAGGCAGAGAAAGUGGCUGCCUUCAUGGCACUUUCAUCCUAACGAUUUUCUGUCUUAAAACAUCACAGCCCAGAAUUCUGAACAAGUUGCUUCUCAAAUCCUGCUGUACUAUAGUUUUCCAGUGCCUCCCAAAUUCUCUCUCUCAGAAAGGGGUGAGACAACUUCAUAAGGAACCGCCUGGGAUGUUUAUUAAAAGUCUGGAUUCUCAGCCUGUUAAGCCCAGAGAUUCCGUUUCAGUAGGCAGGACUGACCCAGGAAUUUCUACUUUAAAAAAGUUUCAACUACUUUCGAAAAGUUUUGAAAAGUGGUCCUUUGGGGGGUGGGUAACACCCGAAAAUCAGAAAAAUUCUGUAAUAAAUCCAAGUGACUAAAUGGUUAAAAACCAUUUUUAUUGUUGAUUUGGUAAACACCUGAAGUCAUGUUUGGGAGAAAAUUAUGAAAGAGAACUUACUCCAGUGCAGCAAUGACCGUGACAAAGAGUCAGGACUAAUUCCCCCGAGUAACUUGACUGCUGAGCUUUCUUCCAACUCACGCAGUGCAAAGUUAAAAUAAAUCACACAAAGGACUAAGAAUUAUAUAAGCCUUGUGAAUAUAAAAUGAACGCAAGCCUUUAUUUCUAGUUAGACGCUGUAAUACAGCAUCUAUCCUGUCUUUAACAGUUUGCAUAGGGCUACAGAGAACAUUUUCUGUAUGAAUAGGCACUAUAAAAACAUUCUAUUGCUGUGUAAUCUCAUAAUAUAUCUGACACAUUGCCAGAGCCAAAGGCUAGGAUGCAAUCUAAGUAAGUUUGUCUCCUCCUUAGAAUAGUCCGGUCUUUCAAAGGGAUCUCUAACCAACGCCUUUGUGAUCUUAGGUAGAAAUUCGCCUUACAAACAGCCUAUUACGGCUUCAAAAAAUUUGAAUGAUAAAAUUUGAUGUUUGGCGUAUUUUCCUUUCUUGAAUUUCCAUUACUGAAAAUUAAGAUUUGAGGAUUCUUUCCAGAAACCUUUACAUUUCUAAAGACAACAAAUAAAAUGAUUACUUCUUCUUAUCCCCUUCAUGCCAACUGGCUGAAGUUUGACUUAUUUUUUUCUUCGUUUUAGAUUUGACACAGCCAUUGCCAAAUGAACAAAAUGCCUCUUAUGCUUAUUCAGAAAUACAGAAUUCUUAAAGCAAGAGCAAAAAGAACUAAAAAGUUAUUUAUGUUGGGGCAAUGAAAAUAUCCAAAUAAUGGAUGGUGGUGAUGGUUACACUACUUUGUGAAUAUCCCGAGGCACUGAGCUAACAUCUGCCUCCAAUCCUCCUCUUUUUGCUGAGGAAGAUUGGCCCUGAGCUAACAUCUGUGCCCACCUUCCUCUCUUUUAU